CAUCAUAUAUAUGUUUUUGUAUUAUGAAGUAUACAUUAUUCCAUAUCAACAACACGUUUACCUUGAAUUUAUGUGAAAUAUCUUCAUGAUCAUCCUCUUUAUUGCGAUAUCAUGACGACAUACUGGGUUAUAAUUUUAAGUUCAUAUUGCCGACCUGCUUCUUAACAGUUGUUUCUCUGGUCCGGCCCACUGCUGACCACACGAGACACUCAGAGUUUUACACCCCUGAUCUCGGUCUUCAACAGAACAUGAUGUCAGCUUUGUAAAUGAGGUUCCCAUUUAGAGGAAAAUGGACAACACAUUACACAUCACCAGUACACAGGAGCUGGUGAUCCCCUGCUGAUUCACCAGGAAGUUCAAAUGUUAUCUUGUCCAGUAUGGACAAGAUAAUCGAGUUAAUAAGUGCUACAAACACUUAUUUACUCGAUGGACUUUUGAGUGGGAGGGUGAGCAGUUUACAAACGUAUACAUGCUUGUACAAACACUACAUACUUCAAGUAAACACGUUUGUUUUUUAUUUCACAGUCACUCCUUGGAUUAUCCCAGAGAUCUGCUAUAAACUGAAUUAAUCUGCCGUGUUUGCACACACACACACACACACACACACACACACACAGGACGGACACUGGGAGGUGUGAGUGGGUUAACUGGCUCAAAGCAUUUUAUCUGUGUAGGAGUGUAACACAGACUGAGGCUUCCAGAGAUAGUACAUGAAGAUCAUUUUCAUUAUUUUUUGUCCAGGAGUAAAUGAAAACCUCGCUCUAAACAAAAUCUAAAAAUAGAAGCUCAUCCUCCAUAUUGUUUGUUCUAUUCUGCAGGUCCGUUCUUCCUCAGGUCUCACAUGUGAAUGAAUUGCUUGAGUAUGUUUUUCUGUGAUGUUAAAUGGCUCUUUUGUCUGACAGCUGUCACUAAUCUGGAGUCACACAACAUCAAUGAGGAGCCAGACGUCCGCAGAGGCGGUCCUCUCUGCACGUGAGAAACCGGCUGAGAUCCAAGCCAUGACUAAGUGUGACAACUCUUACCUGAAUGGGCUCUUGGGUCAGUCUCAUCGGUCCCACACAUUCUUCUGUCGCUGAAACCUGCAGGAAACAGACGACGACGUGUGAAUUUACGUUGUCCAAAGUCCCAACUUUGACGGCCUAUGCUCUGGGCUUAAUAGUGUCAGCUCGGAUCGGCUCCAGCUCCCCAACAACAUCUCAAAGAGCGAGCCGGACAGAUGAUGGAUGGAUCUUAAACCGAAUGUUUAUUGUAAUCACCAGACAUUGGUCUUAUUUUCCUGUGCAGGACAGAGAACCUUCAUAAACGUACACGAUACAGUGUUUUGGCACAAGCAUACUCUCUCUGUCAUCAUAAUAUUUCAAUUCUUAGAACUGCAGCUUUGCAUGUAUACACAAAUAAAUACCUUAAAAGACACUUUCCACAAAACUGCUCCCUAGUUUGAAGGGCUGGACUUGUUUGAAGAUUAAAAAAACCCUAUUUAAUCUGGGGUUUAAUUGAGUUUUAUACCACUGGGAAAGUUGAUUGGUUUUCACUCCCUUCACACCUUUUUUUUCUGGCCCAACACGA